rnacentral:rRNA from 1 species
UCCUACGGGAGGCAGCAGUGGGGAAUAUUGGACAAUGGGCGAAAGCCUGAUCCAGCCAUGCCGCGUGUGUGAAGAAGGCCUUUUGGUUGUAAAGCACUUUAAGCGAGGAGGAGGCUACUUAGAUUAAUACUCUAGGAUAGUGGACGUUACUCGCAGAAUAAGCACCGGCUAACUCUGUGCCAGCAGCCGCGGUAAUACAGAGGGUGCGAGCGUUAAUCGGAAUUACUGGGCGUAAAGCGUGCGCAGGCGGUUCGUUAAGACAGAUGUGAAAUCCCCGGGCUUAACCUGGGAACUGCAUUUGUGACUGGCGAGCUAGAGUAUGGCAGAGGGGGGUAGAAUUCCACGUGUAGCAGUGAAAUGCGUAGAGAUGUGGAGGAAUACCGAUGGCGAAGGCAGCCCCCUGGCCAAUACUGACGCUCAUGCACGAAAGCGUGAGGAGCAAACAGGAUUAGAUACCCUGGUAGUCCACGCCCUAAACGAUGUCAACUAGUUGUUGGGUCUUCAUUGACUUAGUAACGUAGCUAACGCGUGAAGUUGACCGCCUGGGGAGUACGGUCGCAAGAUUAAAACUCAAAUGAAUUGACGGA